rnacentral:rRNA from 1 species
AUGGCAGGUGUCCAACCUGACCUCCUCGGCAACAGCAACAAGGGUGGCCGCGGCGACAAGGGAGGAGACGACAACCAGCAGAGCAAUGAGAUCGCUAAGUCUCUGAUCCCGAUGGCGCAGAGGAAUUGGGAAGCGGACUAUGGACAUGAUGUCUCUGCUCUUCUCCAUGUCCACGGGGACAGUGCGUCGAUCGUGGAGCAUGACCUGGCAAGUCGCGAACUGACUCUGCUAGGCCAACCAGACAAGCACUAUAAGCACAGAUGCUGUCAAGGAUGGGGAUUUUUGUCAACGCCUUUGAAUGCGUCAGCCACGACCUCAAGAUCAGAUUCUCCUAGUGAUGUUCCUAAGAGGGCACCAAAUGAAGAAUCGGCGAAGGGUACAACCCGCAAAGAUGAUGCUGGGAACCUUUGA